rnacentral:lncRNA from 1 species
GAUUGGGGUCGAGUUAUACAUGAAUCUAACCCAAUCCGAAUGAUUUAUUGAGUUAAAAAAUUUGAUCAUAGAUCAGAUCCGACCGAUCCGCUCUUGUUAUGGGUUGGAUCUGGGUCCAAUAUUUAAAUUCGAUCAAAGAAUCGGAUUGGAUUAGAGUCACUUAUGACCCAAUCUAAUCCAGCCCAUUUACACUCCUAGCUGGAAGGACGA